rnacentral:rRNA from 1 species
AGCUCCAAUAGCGUAUACUAAAGUUGUUGCAGUUAAAAGCUCGUAGUUGGAUUUCUGCGCUGGGAGGGAGGCAUGUGCGCACUACGCGUUUUAUGUUGACUUCCCGUGCAUCCUGUCACGAUCCACGUUACUCUUAAUUGAGUGGUGUCGGGGAUUGACUCGUUUACUUUGAGAAAAAUAGAGUGUUCAAAGCAGGUAAUUUGCCUUGAAUAAGUUAGCAUGGAAUAAUGAUAAAGGACUUCGGUUCUAUUUGUUGGUGUUCGGAACGGAAGUAAUGAUUGAUAGGGACAGUUGGGGGCAUCAGUAUUCCCAAGCGAGAGGUGAAAUUCUAGGACCUCGGGAAGACUAACUGCUGCGAAAGCGUUUGCCAAGGAUGUUCCCU